CCGACGGUGAGGGGCGAAAGCUGGGGGAGCAAACCGGAUUAGAUACCCGGGUAGUCCCAGCUGUAAACGAUGCGCGUUAGGUGUGUCAGUGACCACGUGUCACUGAUGUGCCGAAGGGAAACCGUGAAACGCGCCGCCUGGGGAGUACGGUCGCAAGGCUGAAACUUAAAGGAAUUGACGGGGGAGCACCACAACGGGUGGAGCCUGCGGUUUAAUCGGACUCAACGCCGGAAAUCUCACCGGAUAA
rnacentral:rRNA from 1 species